rnacentral:rRNA from 1 species
GAGUUUGAUCAUGGCUCAGAUUGAACGCUGGCGGCAGGCCUAACACAUGCAAGUCGAGCGGCAGCACUUCGGGUGGCGAGCGGCGGACGGGUGAGUAAAGUAUAGGAAGCUGCCCGAUAGAGGGGGAUAACCACUGGAAACGGUGGCUAAUACCGCAUAAUGUCUACGGACCAAAGUAUGGGACCUUCGGGCCAUAUGCUAUCGGAUGCGCCUAUAUGGGAUUAGCUAGUUGGUGUGGUAAUGGCGCACCAAGGCGACGAUCCCUAGCUGGUUUGAGAGGAUGAUCAGCCACACUGGGACUGAGACACGGCCCAGACUCCUACGGGAGGCAGCAGUGGGGAAUAUUGGACAAUGGGCGCAAGCCUGAUCCAGCCAUGCCGCGUGUGUGAAGAAGGCCUUCGGGUUGUAAAGCACUUUCAGCGGGGAGGAAGGGGUUGUUGUUAAUAGCAACAAUUUUUGACGUUACUCGCAGAAGAAGCACCGGCUAACUCCGUGCCAGCAGCCGCGGUAAUACGGAGG